GACGAACGCUGGCGGCGUGCUUAACACAUGCAAGUCGAACGGAAAGGCCCUGCUUUUGUGGGGUGCCCGAGUGGCGAACGGGUGAGUAACACGUGAGUAACCUGCCCUUGACUUUGGUAUAACUUCAGGAAACUGGGGCUAAUACCGGAUAGGAGCCCCUGCUGCAUGGUGGGGGUUGGAAAGUUUCGGCGGUUGGGGAUGGACUCGCGGCUUAUCAGCUUGUCGGUGGGGUAGUGGCUUACCAAGGCUUUGACGGGUAGCCGGCCUGAGAGGGUGACCGGCCACAUUGGGACUGAGAUACGGCCCAGACUCCUACGGGAGGCAGCAGUGGGGAAUAUUGCACAAUGGGCGGAAGCCUGAUGCAGCAACGCCGCGUGCGGGAUGACGGCCUUCGGGUUGUAAACCGCUUUCGCCUGUGACGAAGCGUGAGUGACGGUAAUGGGUAAAGAAGCACCGGCUAACUACGUG
rnacentral:rRNA from 1 species